GACGAACGCUGGCGGCGUGCCUAAUACAUGCAAGUCGAACGGAAAGGCCCUUCGGGGUACUCGAGUGGCGAACGGGUGAGUAACACGUGGGUGAUCUGCCCUGCACUUUGGGAUAAGCCUGGGAAACUGGGUCUAAUACCGAAUAGGACCACGGCCUUCAUGGGUUGUGGUGGAAAGCUUUUGCGGUGUGGGAUGGGCCCGCGGCCUAUCAGCUUGUUGGUGGGGUAAUGGCCUACCAAGGCGACGACGGGUAGCCGGCCUGAGAGGGUGACCGGCCACACUGGGACUGAGAUACGGCCCAGACUCCUACGGGAGGCAGCAGUGGGGAAUAUUGCACAAUGGGCGCAAGCCUGAUGCAGCGACGCCGCGUGAGGGAUGACGGCCUUCGGGUUGUAAACCUCUUUUAGCAGGGACGAAGCGCAAGUGACGGUACCUGUAGAAGAAGGACCGGCCAACUACGUGCCAGCAGCCGCCGCAG
rnacentral:rRNA from 1 species